UACGGAGGGUGCAAGCGUUAUCCGGAUUUACUGGGUUUAAAGGGUGCGUAGGUGGGUAGGUAAGUCAGUGGUGAAAUCUUCAAGCUUAACUUGGAAACUGCCAUUGAUACUAUUUAUCUUGAAUACUUUGGAGGUAAGCGGAAUAUGUCAUGUAGCGGUGAAAUGCUUAGAUAUGACAUAGAACACCAAUUGCGAAGGCAGCUGGCUACUCAUAUAUUGACACUGAGGCACGAAAGCGUGGGGAGCAAACAGG
rnacentral:rRNA from 1 species